GGAAACGGUCGCUAAUACCCGAUGUGCCGAAAAGUGAAACGAAAUUCGCCAGAAGAAGAGCUCGCGUCCGAUUAGCCAGUUGGUGUGGUAAAAGCGCACCAAAGCGACGACCGGUAGCUGGUCUGAGAGGACGAGCAGCCACACUGGGGCUGAGACACGGCCCAGACUCCUACGGGAGGCAGCAGUGGGGAAUUUUCCGCAAUGGGCGAAAGCCUGACGGAGCAACGCCGCGUGAGGGAAGACGGUCUGUGGAUUGUAAACCUCUUUUCUAUGGGAAGAAGAUCUGACGGUACCAUAGGAAUCAGCAUCGGCUAACUCCGUGCCAGCAGCCGCGGUAAUACGGAGGAUGCAAGCGUUAUCCGGAAUUAUUGGGCGUAAAGCGUCCGCAGGCGGCUAAUCAAGUCUGCUGUCAAAGGCCAAGGCUCAACCUUGGACAGGCAGUGGAAACUGACUAGCUUGAGUACGGUAGGGGCAGAGGGAAUUCCCAGUGUAGCGGUGAAAUGCGUAGAUAUUGGGAAGAACACCAGUGGCGAAGGCGCUCUGCUGGGCCGUAACUGACGCUGAGGGACGAAAGCUAGGGGAGCGAAAGGGAUUAGAUACCC
rnacentral:rRNA from 1 species